UCACAAAUGGACUUUUCACUUUAAUAUCACCCAUUUAUUCUAACUUACAAGCAGGCAGGAGGGAAGAGAUGCUGAGCGCAAACAGUGAUUAUCACUGAUUGACAUGGCACGUGCUCACGUGCAGCAGGCCCUGCACAGGCAGAGGGCUCGGCUUGAUUCCGGGGAGGAUCUCUCUGUCUCGGCACAGAGGCUGUGCAAUUUUUAAAUGUCGCGGCCCUCGAACUUGGCGUGCGCGACGCUGGUGCCAGCCAGGGGUGGGAACUACCUGAGCACCUGCUCAGUGCCACGUGGGCCAGGCCCAGCCAGGCCUCUUCCUCCUGUUCCUCCCUGUGGCACCCAGGAGCAGAGCUGGCUUGUGGCCGGCUUUGCGGCCGAGGGAGCCUGCGGGGCUGUGAGGCAGUGCAGGAGGAGGGGGCUUGCCAGAAGGAAGGGCAAGGACCUGCUGCUGGCCCUGCUGCCACCCUGGGAACUGCCUGCUCCUGCAGGGCCACCCCAUCCAUCUCCUGGAGAGCGCGAGCUCCUGCGCAAAACACAGCAACGUGGAGUUGUACAAGGUUGCCAUAAAAUGUGCGAUGAAGGAUAAGCACCAUACAACCCUGCGUGUGCUCUGGUGCACAGGUGUCUACCAGUGAAAUGUGGUGGCAGUGGCAGGACAGCCGUUGGCAGAUUGCUUCUAGGUCACGUAAGCAGUCUCUCCACUGUCUUAAUGUCCUUCUGCUCUGAUGCCAACAGAUGAGUUUGUCAGCUUCAGCCACUUUCACUGCUCAGAGGAAAUAUUUGCAUGCUGACAUUUGCAAUUAUAUAGAAGUACCCAGCGUGGGGAGAAUAAACUACAGGGCAGGACUGCACUUUGUAGCUCUUCCAUCUCUGCAUCCUGCUGGAGGUGAGCCUGGCAUCUGCAAGCUGCCGCUCGAAGGAAGCGCACAAGGUGACCACAGGCCCUGCCAACACAAGCAAGAGACCUGACGUUGCCUUCAGAACGGCGACAGAAAAAUGGAAAAAGCAUUAUUCAAGGAAGUGGAAAAAAAUCAUCUCUGACUUAAGCAUGAAGGGCUUCAAAUAUGGGUCCUGGCAAGCAGCCAGGGAGGCUGCUCCGAAAGUUGCGUUUUCCCUGCAUUUUCAGCACCAGCGUGUGGGGCCCCUUGGGCUGCCCCGGUGGGGACGGGCACGUGGAGCACUCCCAGUCCCGCAGGGCACCUCUGCACCUACUGUCCUGCAAGGCAGCGAGAUCCCCCCAGCCUCGCCUACCGGGUGAGCUCUUUGAUCCUUGGGCUUUCGUUACACAAACAUUUAACUAGCUACAGAAAACAGUGUUUUUUGAUCUUUUUAAAUGUGUAGCUCCCCCAGAUAUUUUCCAGUGCUUACCCUAGUGGAAUUUAAACCUGUUGCCGAAUUGCUUUUCUCAGGGUUUUUUUGUGACCUGCCCAAAGGUGUAGGAAGCACACACUGAAAACUGCUGGAGCAAGCAAUGACGGAAGCAGACAUGAAAUAAAUCUGGUUAAAAUGCAAGCAAGGGUGUGUGAACAGCAUUUUGCAAAAGUUUAAAUCUGUUUAAUUGCAUAGCCUGUGGUAAAUUAAUGCAAUUCUACAUUUAGAUAAGCUCUUAAGGCAUAAUUUUUAAGCUAGUUUCCCUAGGAGAGUAUGAAAGUUCAUAGGAAUAUUCGUAUUUCUGGCUUCCUAAGCACGUUCUAACAAAAGCGCCAAAACCACCACUUCUUCAGCACAUGCAAAACUGGUCCUCGCAGGAAGCUGGCCUUGAGUCAGCUUGCCUUGCCUCGUUUUAGGGCUCAAAUACAUGAUUGCUUUAGGGCAACUUAACACACAGCAGCCAAGCCAACAGUGUGCACGUUGCCUUUAAUCAGUGGCAAAUACAAGGAAGGUUUCAUAGGAAGCGGGUCCACAUCUGUGUGCAAUUACAGGUUAGCUCCAUUUGACUGUGGCCUUACUCUGGCAAAACUGAAGCUGAUCUUGAGCCCAAGAGCCCCCCCGGAAGCUCGCCGUGGCAGUGGUUGAGGGGGGACGUGUGCGCCAGCCCUGUACGUCCCAUCAGGAAAUUGUUACAGUGGAAGUCGCAGCAACGAAACCGCUGAGCUGCAUUAAUUUCAGCAUCACAGGAAACCUGCUGGGCUGGGGACUGUUAGUGCUGUCCAUAGGGAACAUAAAGUAAGGGAAAAGAAUGAGCAGACCUUUGGAGCCUCAAAAUCCUCACUUACUGGGCAAGUCCGCUGUCAUUCUUCUCUUAACUCCCCAGAUAUGAUAUACAUACAUAGGGACCAUUCUUCUCUUUACUGAAGGCCAAUACCCACCCAGGCAGGCAUCCUUCAGGACCUAUCUAGUGUGUUAUUGCAGCGAUGACAGCUAGGUUUGUGUUACGACAGCACGUGCUCUUUGCCAGUUACACAGCAGUUUUGCAACAACACAAUUUGUUACAGGUCCUGUGCAAGCAGCAGCUCUUUAAUAUCCAUUCUCAGUUGCAGAGUAUCCGUGAAGAGGUUUGCUCUUUGGAAAUAUCUAUCAAACAGAAGCAAAGCUGGAGGAUUUAACUACAACAAAUAGCAUUUGUGUACGUUGUGGUGGCUUUUGUGUAUGUUCUGUUGGCUAAACUCUGUUUUCAGCUCCCCUCCGGUGAAAAUCUGGAAUAAUCCCAUUGCAGGGCUCUGGGCUUCUUUCAGUGCCUCCCCUCGGCGUGUGGCCUUGAGGCCGCUCUCACGGGAAUGGCUCCUGGGUUAGUGCCCGCCUGCAGCAGACGCAGCCCUGUGGUACAUGGCUUGGCAUCAGAUAAAACAUAGGCUCUACGUGACUUUGGUAAACACCACUUUCCCUUUGCAGUACGGGAGCAACUGCUGUCUGCUGUAUGCUGUGCAGUGAGUUGAGAGGAUUACUGAAGACAAGCAGUGCUUUGCGGGGAGUGUUCCCUCGCCG